rnacentral:rRNA from 1 species
UACGUAGGGUGCAAGCGUUGUCCGGAAUUAUUGGGCGUAAAGAGCUCGUAGGCGGCUUGUCGCGUCGGCUGUGAAAACCCGGGGCUCAACCCCGGGCCUGCAUUCGAUACGGGCAGACUAGAGUUCGGUAGGGGAGACUGGAAUUCCUGGUGUAGCGGUGAAAUGCGCAGAUAUCAGGAGGAACACCGGUGGCGAAGGCGGGUCUCUGGGCCGAUACUGACGCUGAGGAGCGAAAGCGUGGGGAGCGAACAGG